ensembl:misc_RNA Y_RNA Y RNA
GGCUGGUCCGAAGGUAGUGAGUUAUCUCAAUUGAUCGUUCACAGUCAGUACAGAUUGAACUCCUUGUUCUAUUCUUUCCCCGCUUCUCACUACUGCAUUUGACUAGUCUUAA